AUCCUGGCUUAGGAUGAACGCUAGCUACAGGCUUAACACAUGCAAGUCGAGGGGCAGCAUGUGUGUGCUUGCACACAAUGAUGGCGACCGGCGCACGGGUGAGUAACGCGUAUCCAACCUUCCUGCCAGUAGGGAACAGCCCGGCGAAAGUCGGAUUAAUGCCCUAUGUUCUUCAAUGCGGACAUCUAAGUUGAAGGAAAGAUUCAUCGCUGGCAGAUGGGGAUGCAUCCGAUUAGCUUGCCGGCGGGGUAACGGCCCACCGGGGCGACGAUCGGUAGGGGUUCUGAGAGGAAGGUCCCCCACACUGGUACUGAGACACGGACCAGACUCCUACGGGAGGCAGCAGUGAGGAAUAUUGGUCAAUGGGCGUAAGCCUGAACCAGCCAAGUAGCGUGCCAGGACGACGGCCCUACGGGUUGUAAACUGCUUUUAUGCGGGGAUAAAGUGCGGCACGUGUGCCGCUUUGCAGGUACCGCAUGAAUAAGGACCGGCUAAUUCCGUGCCAGCCGCCGC
rnacentral:rRNA from 1 species